AGUGCUCUGGAAGGGUUUAUAGGCCUGUGAAAGAUUUUAACAUACAAGAUCUGUCCACUCUACAGAAGCCAAUAUGAUUCUCUUCAUCUGGGCAAUUUACUGCAUCCAAGGCUCUUUGGGACAGGUCGUUGUGACUCAACCUGAGUUUAAAUCAGUUCAGCUUGGUCAAACAGUCUCUAUUGAUUGUAAGGUCAACACUGUAGUUUAUAGGCUUCCAACGGGCUCAACAUCCAAAGAUUACUACAUAUUCUGGUACAUUCAGAAGCCAGAUGAACCUCCUAAACUCCUUAUAUAUUUCACAACAAUGAAGCCCUCAAGUGCUCCAUCUAGAAUGAGCGGUGGAGGCAGUUUUCACUCUGGAGGAAACGGUCUUGAUUUUACUCUGACCAUCAGUAAUGCCCAUCUUGAAGAUGCAGGAGAUUAUUACUGUCAGAGUCUACAUAAGAUAAAUGACAAAUGGGUGUUCACACAGUCAAACAAUGCUGCACAAAAACCUCCCUUGGUUAAACCACAGAGAAUCCUCUGAUGCAUCCGAGACCUACAGGUGCUG